rnacentral:rRNA from 1 species
UACGGAGGGUGCGAGCGUUGUCCGGAAUCAUUGGGCGUAAAGGGCGCGUAGGUGGCCCAGUAAGCGUGCGGUGAAAGCUCGGGCUCAACCCCGAGUCGGCCGUGCGAACUACUGGGCUGGAGCACUGUAGAGGCAGGCGGAAUUCCGGGUGUAGCGGUGGAAUGCGUAGAGAUCCGGAAGAACACCGGUGGCGAAGGCAGGUCUCUGGGCCAUUACGUGACACUGAGAAGCGAAAGCAUGGGGAGCGAACAGG